rnacentral:rRNA from 1 species
UACGGGGGGGGCAAGCGUUGUUCGGAAUUACUGGGCGUAAAGGGCUCGUAGGUGGCCAACUAAGUCAGACGUGAAAUCCCUCAGCUUAACUGGGGAACUGCGUCUGAUACUGGAUGGCUUGAGAUUGGGAGAGGGAUGCGGAAUUCCAGGUGUAGCGGUGAAAUGCGUAGAUAUCUGGAGGAACACCGGUGGCGAAGGCGGCAUCCUGGACCAACACUGACACUGAGGAGCGAAAGCAAGGGGAGCAAACGGG